AGGGCGUACGGGGAAUGCCUAGGCACAUGGAGCCGAUGAAGGACGUGGCAAGCUGCGAUAAACCUCGGGGAGGAGCAAACAUCCUUAGAUCCGGGGGUUUCCGAAUGGGGCAACCCAAAUCGAGUCAUGUCGAUUAACUCCUGUCUGAAUAUAUAAGACAGGUUGAGACAACGAGGUGAACUGACACAUCUAAGUAACCUCAGGAAGAGAAACCAAAAGGGAUUCCCUCAGUAGCGGCGAGCGAACGGGGAAGAGCCUAAACCAUCAACGUGCCAAGCUUACAGGCGUUGCGCUGGUGGGGUUGUGGGAUCGAUUCGGAGUCUGCUGUAACAGACUCGGCAAGUCAAAAAAUCUGAUAUUAGUUGAAUGGUCUGGAAAGUCCAACCGUAGAAGGUGAUAGUCCUGUAAACGAAAAUUGAUGAUCUUGCUGGAAUCGACACCCGAGUAACACGGGACACGAGAAAUCUUGUGUGAAUCUGCCGGGACCAUCCGGUAAGGCUAAAUACUCCCAUGUGACCGAUAGUGAACUAGUACCGUGAGGGAAAGGUGAAAAGUACUCCUAACGGAGAGUGAAAUAGAACCUGAAACCGUAUGCCUACAAGCAGUCAGAGCUCCAGUUAUCUUCGGAUAGCGGAGUGAUGGCGUGCCUUUUGCAUAAUGAGCCAGUGAGUUACUCGUAUAUUGCAAGGUUAAGACUGUAAGGUCGGAGCCGUAGCGAAAGCAAGUCUGAAUAGGGCGUUGAGUAAUAUGCGGUAGACCCGAAACCGAGUGAUCUAGCCAUGGCCAGGAUGAAGUCCCGGUAACACGGGAUGGAGGUCCGAACCCACCAGCGUUGAAAAGCUGGGGGAUGAGCUGUGGUUAGGGGUGAAAGGCCAAUCAAACUCGGAGAUAUCUGGUUCUCGCCGAAAUGCCUUUAGGGGCAGCGUCAUGUAAGUGUACCGGGGGUAGAGCACUGAAUGGGUUAGGGGGCCUACAAGCCUACCGACCCCAAUCAAACUCCGAAUACCGGUAUUAUAAUGCAUGGCAGUGAGCUCAUGGGGGAUAAGCUUCAUGAACGAAAGGGAAAGAACCCAGACCAUCAGCUAAGGUCCCAAAGUCGAUGCUAAGUGAUAAAGGAUGUCAAAUCGCCCAGACAGCUAGGAGGUUGGCUUAGAAGCAGCCAUCCUUUAAAGAAAGCGUAAUAGCUCACUAGUCGAGGGGUUUUGCGCCGAUAAUUUCCGGGACUAAGCAUCGCACCGAAGCUAUGGAUCUCGAUAUUUAUAUAUCGAGGUGGUAGGCGAGCGUUCCAUCGACCGUCGAAGGUUGACCCGUGAGGGCAGCUGGAGGAAAUGGAAAUGAGUAUGCUGGCAUGAGUAGCGAUAAAGCCUGUGAAAUGCAGGCUCGCCGCAAGCCCAAGGUUUCCUGAGUAAAGUUAAUCUGCUCAGGGUUAGUCGGACCCUAAGCCGAGGCCGAAAGGCGUAGGCGAUGGAAAACAGGUUUAAUAUUCCUGUACCAGUGCAACAUUGUUUGAACUAUGGGGGGACGCAGAAGUGAAAGGUCAGCCCGGUUUUGAUAGUCCGGGUUUAAGUGCGUAGGGAGUUCUGGUAGGUAAAUCCGCCGGGACAUUAAUCCUGAGACACGAAUAGGAGAGCUUAGCUCAUAAACUGACCCUAAUCAUGCUGCCAAGAAAAUCCUCUAUGUUAGAUGCUGCGCUGACCGUACCGUAAACGGACACACGUGGGCGAGGAGAGUAUCCUCAGGCGCUUGUGAGAAUCCAGGUUAAGGAACUCGGCAAAUUAGCCCCGUAACUUCGGGAGAAGGGGUGCCCUUAUUAGGUGAAGAACUUCGCGUUUGGAGCUGAACAGGGCCGCAGUGACCAGGCUCAAUCGACUGUUUACUAAAAACACAGGUCUCUGCUAAGUCGCAAGACGAAAUAUAGGGACUGACACCUGCCCGGUGCUGGAAGGUUAAAUGGAGAGGUUAGUUCCGAUUUAUCGGGACGAAGCUUUGAAAUGAAGCCCCAGUAAACGGCGGCCGUAACUAUAACGGUCCUAAGGUAGCGAAAUUCCUUGUCGGGUAAGUUCCGACCUGCACGAAUGGUGUAACGAAUUGAGCACUGUCUCAACCUGGAGCACAGCGAAAUUGAAGUGUCGGUGAAGAUACCGGCUACCCGCGGCAGGACGAAAAGACCCCGUGAACCUUUACUAUAACUUAGCAUUGGAUUUUGGUUAUGCAUGUGCAGGAUAGGUGGGAGGCUAUGAAACUUGGACGCUAGUCCGGGUGGAGCCAUCCUUGAAAUACCACCCUUGUAUUGCUAGAACUCUAAUCCCGACCCGUGACUCCGGCCGAGAGACUGUGUUAGGUGGGUAGUUUGACUGGGGCGGUCUCCUCCCAAAAGGUAACGGAGGAGCUCAAAGGUUCCCUCAGCACGGUCGGUAAUCGUGCGAAGAGUGCAAAGGCAUAAGGGAGCUUAACUGCGAGGUCGACGGACCGAGCAGGUGCGAAAGCAGGACUUAGUGAUCUGGUGGUUCCGUAUGGAAGGGCCAUCACUCAACGGAUAAAAGGUACUCCGGGGAUAACAGGCUUAUCUCCCCCAAGAGUUCACAUCGACGGGGAGGUUUGGCACCUCGAUGUCGGCUCAUCACAUCCUGGAGCUGGAGAAGGUUCCAAGGGUUGGGCUGUUCGCCCAUUAAAGUGGUACGUGAGCUGGGUUUAGAACGUCGUGAGACAGUUCGGUCUCUAUCCGCCGUGGGCGCAAGAUAUUUGAGGGAAUCUGCUUCUAGUACGAGAGGACCGAAGUGGACGAACCUCUGGUGUACCAGUUGUUCCAUCAGGAGCACGGCUGGGUAGCUAUGUUCGGACCGGAUAAGCGCUGAAAGCAUAUAAGCGCGAAACCGAUCCCAAGAUUAGAUAUCUCUAACAUAAGUUAAUAAGGCUCGUUGU
rnacentral:rRNA from 1 species